rnacentral:rRNA from 1 species
GUGACCCUAGGUCAGGCGGGGCCACCCGCCAAGUUUAAGCAUAUAAAUAAGCAGAGGAGAAGAAACUUAUGAGGAUUCCCCUAGUAAUGACGAGCAAACCAGGAUCAGCCCAGCUUGAGAAUCGGGUGGCUACGCUGUCCAAAUUAUAGUCUAGAGAAGCGUCCUCAUCGACAGACCGGGCCCAAGUCCCCUGGAAAGGGGCGCCGCGGAGGGUG